AAACCAACAGGGAUUGCCUUAGUAACGGCGAGUGAAGCGGCAAAAGCUCAAUUUGAAAACGCUUCGGCGUGUUGUAAGUAAAGUGGUUAGACGCUUUUUAAUAAGUCCCUUGGAACAGGGCGCCAUAGAGGGUGAUAGCCCCGUAUUAAAUUGUCUAGUGUGCUACUUUAGAGCGAGUCGAGUUGUUUGGGAAUGCAGCUCAAAUAGGUGGUAAACUCCAUCUAAAGCUAAAUAUUGCUGGGAGACCGAUAGCGAACAAGUACAGUGAUGGAAAGAUGAAAAGCACUUUGAAAAGAGAGUGAAAUAGCGUGUGAAAUUGUUGGAGGGGAAGGCGAUGGUAGGAAUAAGAGGCUGCGGUUUGAAAUAAUUAUUUUUCGGGCCACGGUCUCCUGAGCCUGCUUUCGCACCC
rnacentral:rRNA from 1 species